CCGCGCUUCCGUCAGAAACAGAACCCGUGACGUUGCCGAGCGCGCGCGCGAACUCCCGCGAUAUCUGGAGGGCACUGGCCCCUGCUCCCCCUGGCGAGUUUCUAAAGAGUCGGACGCAACCUCCAUUAAAGACGACCUCCUCCACAGCUCUACGCCACAGGAAGGAAGUGCUCCCUACAGCCUUGCGGUAGUCGUCAAAUCACCCUCUCCUCCAUCUUGAUAGUGUACUAUUCUUUAAUAAAAUGCUUUGUGCUUGGUACAUUCCUAGUGUCCUUAUUCGAGAGCGGAUCCUCAUACAGAUCUUUGGAGGGGAAUCCAAGAACCGAGACUUGAAUUGACACAAGACCAGCUUCCAUCGGUAACUCCAGCACAAGACAGGUCCAGCUUCAGCUCUUACUGCAACAAGGGUAUCAGCCCCUGUCAAGUGAACAUCAAAACUACCAUAGCCCCUGGACCAGAGUAGUCAAGCUUUCUAAGACCAAGAC